rnacentral:rRNA from 1 species
GACGAACGCUGGCGGCGUGCUUAACACAUGCCAGUCGAACGGAAAGGCCCUGCUUUUGUGGGGUGCUCGAGUGGCGAACGGGUGAGUAACACGUGAGUAACCUGCCCUUGACUUUGGGAUAACUUCAGGAAACUGGGGUUAAUACCGGAUAGGAGCUCCUGCUGCAUGGUGGGGGUUGGAAAGUUUCGGCGGUUGGGGAUGGACUCGCGGCGUAUCAGCUUGUUGGUGGGGUAGUGGCUUACCAAGGCUUUGACGGGUAGUCGGCCUGAGAGGGUGACCGGCCACAUUGGGUCUGAGAUACGGCCCAGACUCCUACGGGAGGCAGCAGUGGGGAAUAUUGCACAAUGGGCGGAAGCCUGAUGCAGCAACGCCGCGUGCGGGAUGACGGCCUUCGGGUUGUAAACCGCUUUCGCCUGUGACGAAGCGUGAGUGACGGUAAUGGGUAAAGAAGCACCGGCUAACUACGUG